AAAAUAUUUGGAAUUUCGCCUUGAAGGGGCGGCGGUGGCCCUUGAAAGUUUCAGGAGGAAGCGGUGGUGGCCGGUGGCCAUGUUCAUUGGUGGAGAUUAUCGCCUAUUUCUAUUUGGAGGCGGCGGCGGUGAUUUUUCUCGCCGCGAUUCUUGCCAGCUUUUACGUGGAUUCGGCGGCGUCCGCCGAGAGCGGCGGGCGAAUUUUGAAGUUCGGCUCUAAAUUUGUUGAGCCGUGUAACAGUUUAUGUUGUUUAGGGAUAGGGAUCUGUUUUGUUACUCUUGCUCCGAUUGGAGACGAUAAUAGCAUUUACGCCGUGCAUCUCGAAAGAGAGUGAUAAUCGAGGAGGCUGCUGUUGCGCGCGGAGGAGAAGGCCGACGACGGAGGCGGCAAUGGCUGGACGACGGC
rnacentral:lncRNA from 1 species